CCCUGGUCUGCCGCAGGAGACCCUGCCGAUGCCACUCAGGGUCAAGACUCUGGCGCGGUGGAAACUGCAGAGCAAAAGGAAACACAGACAAAAACAGUGAGAAGGAGAGAGAGCAUGUGGGGCUUUGCCAGAGAGGAACUUGGAUGGCAAUCACCUAAGAACUCCAAACUCAGUGCCAGGGCAGACUGGUGUCUAUUUUGGGAUGGCUCAAGUACUCAAAAGGCAGCACUAAAAUAAGGCUAUGUCUCUUCCUGAGAAUACUCUGGACUUCAUUCUCUGAUUAAAGAUCACAACUGCUUCUUCGUUGAGGAAAUCAUGUAUUUCAAAGCCACCAAUGAACAAGAAUGACAAUCCAUGAAUUACACAGUAAACAAAUACUAUAUGUAUGAGACCGAUUCACUGUCACAAACCUGGAGAAGAAAACCCUUUUGAGGUUUAAAGCUGAGAGGGAGAUAAAAACUUGGUUGUACUACUUCUGGGAAAUGCUGAAGUUAUCCACGUGAUUUUCCAGUCACUGAUUAUUUUAGCAAAGUAACACAAACAGAGGAGGAGCUCUGGACUCUAGCUUCUCAUUUCUAAAAGAACAGAUGUAAUGGGAUGUAUUGGUCCAGCACUGAUAACAGGUUAUCCUACAAUCAAGUAUACUCUUUCCAGAAAGCUGAGUUAGGUAUGCAACUGCCUUUCUAAGCCAUGACUACAUUGCUAAAUGAAUCAUUGAUUUGGAAAAUCUGAAGUGACCUUCAGCUUGUUCUCCAGCUCUUCCUCAACAGAAAAGAGAGGCAAAAUCAGCAAAAUAUUGGAAAGAGGUAGUUUUUCUAAAGGUAUUUGUGGCAGGUAGAAGAUUGGAGGCCACUCAGCUAUGUGUGUAAGUGUGUGCAGGGAGAAAUUAGGUUCUAUAUUCAGAAGUGACAUUCUUUGUAUUUUCAGUGUGGCUCUAAAAACAGAGCCUUUUUCUUAUAGUUCAGAGUCAGACACUGCCCUUGGCUUCUCAGCCAUUCUAGUAAACUAUUUGUUACUCAGAAAGCCUCAAAUUCUUCAUUGAAUUUAUUUGGACCAGUUUUUGUGCACUUACCUCGUUGGCAUGGUAAUAGUCUUUUGAAUAACCAAUACUGUGAACAAUUAUACAAUUAAAAAUUCUACUUCCAUUAUUAUUCUUAACUUCUCCCUUUAUAUUUUGUUACAGUUAUGAGGUAUGUUUUAUUAACUAUUCUAGACAUAGAUCUAGCCCUGCAUUUACUCAGCACUGCCUUGCUCCUUUUCAUGAGGGGUGAUCUAGUUAGACAUAUCAAUAUUCAAUGAAAUGUAUAGAUUACCCUGAUAAAAUGGCUCAAUGAAGUUCAUGUAAGGUCAAUGGAAGAUUGAGGCAUCAUAUGCACUGAGCCACUAAUUGGUCUCAUACUAGUAGGAUAUAGCUAUCCCCACCCCCUAUAUCUUGAGUCUCCUUCCUCUUAGGUGCUGAGCAUUUCCAAAGGCUUCUCUAGCUGAAGCAGGUAUAAGAAAAUGAAGUGACAUAAAGCAUCAACCCUUAGGUAUAAAUGAUUGGCAAGUCUCAACCUUGCUAAAACUGAGACUUUUCAAUUAGCUAUGCUUAAAAGUUUCUACUGAAUUACUGAAGCCAUAAUUAUGUAUGUAAUUCAAGUUUCCUUUGAGCUGACCUACAAUGAAAGAAGUUACCUAAAUGACCUCUUAGGUCCUUUUCUCUCUCCAGCAAUCAUGGAUACUUUACGAAUCUCAUAAGGAGUACAGCUCAUUUAUUAUUAACACCAUUUUAGAAUGAAGGAAGAAGAGGCUUAGAAAGGUUUAGUAGCAGAGAAGAGAGCAGCCUUCUGAUUUGUGGGUUCCACAUUCUGGAUGCAGAAAACUUUCAGUCAUUCUUAUCUAUUGUGAGGCUUGUACCAGUUUCUCCAUAAACUUACAAAACCAAACCAUUUUGACAAGCUUUGUUCCUGCCUCUGACUUCUUUCAGAUAGUGGCUAACCAUCUUCUCUUGAUGAGUCAUUUUUGCUCUUCCUCAUUCCCUUCUUGAUGUUCAAGUAGGUGAACGUGAUGACUAUAAAAGGCAAGCAAUUAAUAUCUGGGGUUAGGCAGAGCUCUGUAAGCCAAUCUCCAAGAAUGUGCAAGCUCCUUUGUCCUUAACUGUAACCUUGGCACAUGAAAAGCAACUUCCAUUCCGUUUUACCAACAUUUCGGUCAAAGAUCAAUUGCCAUUGUAAUUAUAUCAUAUAUCACAGGAUGGGGAAUCAGUGAGAGGGCAGGCCCUUUAAACUAAUACAUAUCAUUAGCAUUUAAAGAACAUGAAAAACAAAUUGAACAUUAGUCCUCAUGUAAGUCUUUUUUCUAGAGCAAAUAAUUUUCCAAAUUAAAAUGAAUAAAUUAAUGAAAUUGUCACAUGUCUGAGAAUAAACUAGGUUGGUAAUGCCGUCAAGCUCUUAGCAAAGUUUAGCUCAUUGUACUUCUCUGUCUGAUCAUUAUAACAUCUAAUCAAGGGGAGCUUAAAUACUUCAAUGAGCUCUCAAAAUAAAUUUGAUCUGAGCAGCUCAGGUCUCAUGGAUUCCUAGGGUUACUGACUGGGUGAAACAUGUUUUUGUUUUAAUCCCUGUCUCAGCUCAAAGAGGAUUAAUGCCCGUAAUUCUGCUAUCCCCAUUUAAUUGAGAAAUGAAAUUUGAAGAGGCACCUCCUGGAACACUCCACUUUGAAAUAUGACCCAUCCACUGUCUAUAUAAUAAAUCUUCCUCUGCUCUCACACACUUAUCCACAUCCUUCCUAUCCCAAAGAAGGAGGAAAGAAAGUUAUUGUGUGUGUGUGUGUGUGUGUGUGUGUGUGUGUGUUUCUGUGCAUCUAAUCCAAAACACACAAUGUUGUUGUUUUAUUUUUCAAUUUUGGAAUUAUCCUAAUAAAGGCAUUCUCUGGGAAGCUCAGACUGCAUCUCAAACCUUUCUCUGACACUAGCAUCCUCAUUGGAACAAAUAGCCCUUUCACUAAAAGCAAUACAGUUAUUGCAUUCAUGUUAUAUGAUGGUAAUUUUCACUUUUGCUUUCAAUACAACAUUAAAAGAAAAAUUGUCUAUAGGAAAGAAAGAGGCAAUAUACUAUAUCCUGGAACUAAUUCUUUGGCAUCUGUAAAAAAGGGGGCCAUAAUUCUGAAUAGAGGCUCCUGUCCUAAAACAGACCCAAUGCUAAGAUCUAAUAGAAAGGGCACAGAGAAGCAUAAGGAAACUUAAUGUCACUUUCACGUUUUUUGUACAAGUUGAUGUGAGGAUCUAAAGAGGCAAUUUCUGUAAAAUGCCUAGUAGAGGACCAGGCAUAUAGUAAGCCCUCAGCAAAUGCUGGCUGUUAUCAUUAUGUUUUAUAAAGAAUUUUUACAUCUUCCUCCUAAGCCCUGAGGCUUCAUAACGAAGCCUUAUAUAUGACUCUCAAUGGCUCAAUGUCUUUCCUAACCUAAUGUAGAAAGUGACAUACCAUUGCUUCCAACAUAACCUAUUGGUCACAUGGACCAACAUAAGACCAAUGUGGGAUGACCCUGUACAUAAGGGUAAGAAGCAGGCAUCACUUGGGGCCAUCUCAAAGGAAGGUGACCACAACUGCCUAAUGGCAGUUGAAUCCUUUAUCAAGCUACCCUCAGUAACACUUCAGCUUUCAAGGACCAGGUUUUUGUGACUAUUGUGAACAGGAUUUUAGUGAAUGAAGAUAUAUCCCAAAAUAACAUUUCACUUAAAAGUUGAAUAUCUGUUAUCAAUUUACAAAUGCUUUUAUGUUAUAUCUCACUUGAGCUUCAAAAUAACCUUUUAAGACAGACAAGAGUAGAAACUACUCCAGUGAUUUCAUAGAUAAGGAAACUGAAGAUCAGAGAGACUUAAUGAUUAACCUAAGAUUUAAACUAGAUAUCCUCCUAGCAUUCUCAUGGCACUUAUUCUGCUAGCGUAGGCUGCCUUGUAUAUUUUUUAAAUGACUAUCUGUUUAUGUGCUGGUCAUGGGGUUUGCAGCAAAUCACAAGUGUGUAAUUUUUUUUUCUUAAAGGCAUUUAAUCUACUUUCUAAAAAUCACUAGAAUUCAGAAACUGAUACUACUUCUUUUGUUUCAUUAUUUGCCUCCCUGCCCCCAACACUCAUACAUAUUUAGAGACACCCAUGGACACUCAUGAACACACAUAUUCUUCUUUCUAGUCCCUUAUCAAUGGCAAACUAAAGUUAUUUUAGAAUAUACUAGCUGUCAUUGUGCCACAGAGAAACCUCUCUUUCAUGCAAAUUGAUAUAUGUAUAUAAUCAUACAUGUUUAUAUAUAAACUUUGUAGCUUUCCUCCCUCUUUUCUAAAAUAAAUUAUGAAAGGUUGUAUGUUCAGGCUUCACGCAGAAUUUUUCAUUUGAGGGAGACUUUUUCAACCCUUUCUAUUUGAGUUGGUAGCCAUUUAUAUGAAGAGAAAAUGAAUACUAAUGGAAAAUCCUAGAGUGGAUUUGGAAAAUCAUUAUAACAGUUCUGCUAUAGGUUUGGGCCUUUGACAAACCACCUAUUCAAGGAUGAAAAAUCCACUAUUUCUCUUCUGCAUUUCUUUUUCCGAAUACAGCUAGAUUGAAUAACAGGCCAGAUAAAGGAUUCAGAACAAUUGCUUUACUAAGUAAUAGUGAGCCCAUGUUCUAACCAAUGGGACAGAAACUGACCCUCUGUAUCUCUGACACAGUUGCCUUUCAUUGACAGAUUUACAGUGGAGGGGUUGGGAGAGCAGAUGAAUUAAAAAAAAACAAAAGCAAAUCAAGAUCCCCCAUAAAUUUCACGAUCCCCACAUCUUCCACCUCAGCACCUAUUAGAACACCUUACUCUUAAAUUCUGCACAUGUGGAGAUUUAUUUGUAUCCCAGAGGUUUGCUCAGAUGUUUCCUCUGUGCUUUCAAUGCAGGCCCACCCUUUUCUUUCUUCAUAUUAAAACCAUAUAGAUUCUCCUUGAAGCCUUCUCAACUGGUAAUAAUCAUUUACAUCCUUGCUAGUGCUUAUGAUUUUCGAAUUACUUUUAGAUAAUCUAACUCAGCGAUCUCCACACAACCUUAGACACUUAGCCCGGCAAGUAUUGUGCUUUUGCUUUCAUGGAUGAGAAAAAGGAGACUUGGAGUGCUUUGAUUAGCAAACAAGGUUACAGAGCUAAAAAAGGAGUGACACUGGAGUAGAUCCCAGCUUAAAUGAAACCCACUGCUUUACCUGCCCCUAUAGCCUGCAUGAUAUUUCCCUAUUCUGAGUGCUUGGAGCUCUUGGAGUCUCUUACAUCUAAUGUGAUCAUUAAGAGGUACUAACUGUCUGAUUGCUUCUUGUGUGCAGCUAACUCACUGGUGACCCAGCACUUUGGGAGGAUGAGGAGGGUGGAUCACAAGGUCAGGAGUUCGAGACCAGCCUGGCCAACAUGAUGAAACCCCGUCUCUACUAAAAAUACAAAAAUUAGCCAGGCGUGGUGGCAUGCACCUGUAUUCCCAGCUACUUGGGACACUGAGGCAGGAGACUUGCUUGAACCCGGGAGGCAGAGGUUGCAGUGAGCCAAGAUCGUGCCACUGCACUCCAGCCUGGGCGACAGAGUGAGACUCCAUCUCAAAAAUAAGUAAAUGAAUAAAUAAAAAUAAAAUAGAUUGAGCCUCCACAUUUUGCAUGCAGCUUUCUUGGUGCUUGUCCUUCUCCUGUGCUUACUCAAAGAUGGGACAUUGUGCACAAUGAGAAGAGUAUUGGGACCAGUAAGGAAGAAUGAGUCAGAUAUUGUGGGACCUCUUUUUUUGUUGUUUUUUUUUGCUCCCAGAAAUCUUUGAGAUUUUAACCUGAAUGGAAAAGACAAUAUGAGGGUGAUGAAAGACUCUAGAUGGUCCGUCUUGGUCUUUGAAAGAUGCUGGAAUAUAUGCCUGCUUGGCCAAUUAGUCCCCAAUAACUCUUCAGUGCCAUAGUACUGUGUGUAGAGAAAACCUCAAUGAAAAGAAAAUGGACAAUCAAGCUGGAUAAAAUACAUCCCUUAAAUGAGAACUACGCUAUGUGAAAAAAAAAUAGAAGAACAAGUCCUCAGCAAGUCAAUGAUCAUAAGAAAAACAGUUAUAUUGACUAGUUAUUUUGUGUGUUUGAUGUACAAUAUGGAGAAAUAUUAGUAGCCAAAUGAAUGUGACACAUUGACACAGAUGCAUUGUAAAUAUUAUGCUAUUGAGACCAUAGAUUCAGUUACAUUCCUCUGAUGAAUGUGGAUGCUUUCAUUUCCUGUUUUAGAAGGCAACUAACCUGAUUAAUAUCAAACUGCAAGCUCUGCCUUGUUUGCAGUAGGUGACUGCUCAAAUUGUAGUUAUUUUAGCCUCAGCUCUGAGAUAAUUUGUUUCUGUCCUGUUUUUCCCCCAACAAGUAUGGUUCAAGGUUCACAUACAGACUUGGCCAGAGUUCAUAUGCAGACUUUUAACUGCCUUCUUCCCAGGAUUUCCUCUCCAUUUUUGGGGUGGGUGGGCAGUGGGGUGCUGUGGUUGCACUGGGUCCUGUCAUCUGGUUCUUACCAACACAAAAUAUGAAGGUUUUUAAAGGAGUUUCAGUUAUUCUAAUUAUCCUGUACCUUAAGUUGUCUUUCUAAUACCUAGUGCUGGUUUCUUCUAAAUGUCAAAUCUCUUACAAAAACUGUUCUGUCUCAGGAAUUGUGUGUGUGUGAUUGUGCAUAUUCAGACUUUAUAGUUGUUACCUGCAUGACUGUCAGUCUAGUAGGAAUUCAUUCCAGCCUACUAGAAGAAAAAGUUUAUAUAUCAAUUUUGCAGAAAAAUAAUCCAAAUUGUAUAGGAUAUUACUCAAAAAGAAAACUUCGGAAAAGUUGUUUAAAUUUAUAAUCUUUUAGUUUUAAGCAAAUAUUUGUUAAACAUGCUUACUUCUCAGUUAGUGGAACAGAAGAAAAAAAAUGUAAUGUCAUCCCUGAACUCAGACACACAACACUUAAGAAAUUACAUUCAAAACAUAGGUGCUUUAACUUGAUAAGUACUUUAAAUGCAAUGCUAUAUCCAUUGUUUUCAAUGAACAUAGCAACAUUUUACAUGCACAAUAUAAUAAUGUGGUAAUUGCCAGAAAUAGUCCCUUUUUGCAAAUAUUUAAUGUAAUUCUACAGGAAAAAAUUUUAAGGCAGUAAAAUAAAAUGUAUUUCACGAUCUGCAAUGAUGUGUACCUUACUUUAGCCUUUUACUGCAACUAACUUCAGCAAAUAAAAUUUGGUGAAUAAUCUGUAUUUUCUUCUUUUCUUUCUUUUUUUUUUCUUGUAAGCCUCUCUCCCUUCCUGUCUCCAUUCUUUCCUACAAGGAAUAUUGGGUAUUUAUUAUGUGCACGGCACAUUCUAAAGCAGUGAAGAUGAGACAGUAAAUAUUCCAGGGACAGUAUCA
rnacentral:lncRNA from 1 species